rnacentral:tRNA from 1 species
GGAGAAGUGGCAGAGUGGUCGAAUGCACUAGUCUUGAAAACUAGCGUACUGAGAGGUACCGGGGGUUCGAAUCCCUCCUUCUCCGCAA